UGAAAUGCGAUACGUAAUGUGAAUUGCAGACUACCGUGAAUCAUCAAAUCUUUGAACGCACAUUGCACUGGCUGGAAUUCCGGCCAGUAUGCCUGUUUGAGUAUCAGUUCCACCUCUACCCGGGAAUCUUUGGUUCCUGGGCAGGACUUGAGCCUCGGCACCCUCCCCGGUGCCCGGCUUGGAAUCGAUUAAGCGCUUGCCUCGGUGCUGACAGAGCUAGUCUCAAGACCGUCACACGUCUGGGAAUAUCUGUCUAGCCCGGGACCAGGUCGCUUCCAUCAUUGACUAGACCAGCCAGCAAUGGCCGGUCUGACUCUUGAUCUCAAAUCAGGCAAGACUACCCGCUGAACUUAA
rnacentral:misc_RNA from 1 species